rnacentral:rRNA from 1 species
GACGAACGCUGGCGGCGUGCCUAAUACAUGCAAGUCGAACGCUUUUUCUUUCACCGGAGCUUGCUCCACCGAAAGAAAAAGAGUGGCGAACGGGUGAGUAACACGUGGGUAACCUGCCCAUCAGAAGGGGAUAACACUUGGAAACAGGUGCUAAUACCGUAUAACACUAUUUUCCGCAUGGAAGAAAGUUGAAAGGCGCUUUUGCGUCACUGAUGGAUGGACCCGCGGUGCAUUAGCUAGUUGGUGAGGUAACGGCUCACCAAGGCAACGAUGCAUAGCCGACCUGAGAGGGUGAUCGGCCACACUGGGACUGAGACACGGCCCAGACUCCUACGGGAGGCAGCAGUAGGGAAUCUUCGGCAAUGGACGAAAGUCUGACCGAGCAACGCCGCGUGAGUGAAGAAGGUUUUCGGAUCGUAAAACUCUGUUGUUAGAGAAGAACAAGGAUGAGAGUAAAACGUUCAUCCCCUGACGGUAUCUAACCAGAAAGCCACGGCUAACUACGUGCCAGCAGCCGCAGUAA